GGGGACGUUACGGAUUCGACAGGGGUAGUUCGAGCUUAGGUUGCGAGCCGAGUCGGCGAGCUCGUUAAUAACGCCAACGCCAAUAAUAACUGGCAAAACUAACAACAACCUCGCUGUAGCUGCGUAACAACAGUUUAUAGCGGUUCCUCCCUCCAUCGCCCAUGUGGUAGGGUAAGGGACUCACUUUAAGUGGGCUACGCCGGAUCUCGCCGUCUGAGGGAGAAGGAAGAGAACAAUCAGACUAGCUGUCCUGACGCCUGCUGGUAGGCAUACGGCACAGCGAAAUGCGAAUAUCCCAGCUACGCUCGUAGACGCUUAAGUGCCGAUAUUUCUGGACGUGGGUUCGACUCCCACCGUCUCCACCA
rfam:Bacillus sp. SJS contig_15, whole genome shotgun sequence.